UACGAAGGGGGCUAGCGUUGUUCGGAGUUACUGGGCGUAAAGGGCGCGUAGGCGGCGCAUCAAGUCAGGUGUGAAAGCCCUGGGCUCAACCCGGGAAUUGCGCUUGAGACUGGUGUGCUUGAGUACGGGAGAGGAUAGUGGAAUUCCCAGUGUAGAGGUGAAAUUCGUAGAUAUUGGGAAGAACACCGGUGGCGAAGGCGGCUAUCUGGACCGUAACUGACGCUGAGGCGCGAAAGCGUGGGGAGCAAACAGG
rnacentral:rRNA from 1 species